rnacentral:tRNA from 1 species
GGUCACAUAGCCAAGUGGUUAGGCACCGGUCUGCAAAACCGGCUACAGCGGUUCGAAUCCGCUUGUGACCU